AGAACAGCCUAGAUGUGGGUGGAGGCUUCAGAAUUAAAAAUGGGCAAAUGUUUGUUUGGACUGUGGCGGGCAGCAGGCUGCUGAUGUGUGCUCUUGGGGACGGCUGAUGUCCCGUUUUCCCACCCGGUUGUCCUGGGAGCUGGGUCAGGGGAUUGCCUGUUGUGCCUCUCUCCUAAUCUGUGGGGUUUUUCCUUCCGCAGGACCCGUCGGGGCACAGCCCCUGCUCAUGGUGCCCAGACGGCCCGGCUAUGGCACCAUGGGCAAGCCCAUUAAACUGCUGGCCAACUGCUUCCAAGUUGAAAUCCCAAAGAUUGAUGUCUACCUCUAUGAGGUGGACAUCAAACCAGAUAAGUGUCCUCGGAGGGUGAACAGGGAUGUGGUGGACUCCAUGGUGCAGCAUUUUAAAGUGACAAUAUUUGGGGACCGUAGACCAGUGUAUGAUGGGAAAAGAAGCCUCUAUACAGCCAAUCCACUUCCUGUGGCCACUACUGGGGUGGAUUUGGAUGUGACACUACCGGGAGAAGGUGGAAAAGACCGUCCCUUCAAAGUGUCAAUAAAGUUUGUUUCUCGGGUGAGCUGGCACUUGCUGCAUGAAGUUUUGACAGGAAGAACCUUGCCUGAGCCUCUGGAACUAGACAAACCUAUCAGCACUAACCCUGUUCAUGCUGUCGAUGUGGUGCUACGACACCUCCCCUCCAUGAAGUACACCCCUGUGGGCCGCUCCUUCUUCUCAGCUCCAGAAGGCUAUGACCACCCCCUGGGAGGGGGCAGGGAGGUCUGGUUUGGAUUCCAUCAGUCAGUCCGACCUGCCAUGUGGAAGAUGAUGCUCAACAUCGAUGUUUCUGCCACUGCCUUCUACAAAGCACAACCCGUAAUUCAGUUCAUGUGUGAAGUCCUUGACAUUCAUAAUAUUGAUGAACAACCAAGACCUCUGACUGAUUCUCAUCGGGUAAAAUUCACCAAAGAGAUAAAGGGUCUGAAGGUAGAAGUGACUCACUGUGGGACGAUGAGAAGGAAGUACCGUGUCUGCAACGUCACGAGGCGACCUGCAAGUCAUCAAACCUUUCCUUUGCAGCUGGAAAAUGGCCAGACUGUGGAGAGGACAGUAGCACAGUAUUUCAGAGAGAAAUACAACCUCCAGCUGAAAUACCCUCACCUUCCUUGUCUGCAAGUGGGACAAGAACAAAAACACACCUACCUGCCUUUAGAAGUGUGUAACAUCGUGGCUGGCCAGAGGUGCAUCAAGAAGCUCACGGACAAUCAGACCUCGACCAUGAUAAAAGCCACAGCCAGGUCUGCCCCAGACAGGCAGGAGGAAAUCAGCAGAUUGGUGAGAAGUGCAAAUUACGAUGCAGAUCCAUUUGUCCAGGAGUUCCAGUUCAAGGUGCGGGAUGAGAUGGCCCAUGUGACGGGCCGUGUGCUCCCAGCCCCGAUGCUGCAGUACGGGGGACGGAAUCGAACUGUGGCAACCCCAAGCCAUGGAGUGUGGGACAUGAGAGGGAAGCAGUUCCACACUGGUGUGGAGAUCAAGAUGUGGGCUAUAGCUUGCUUUGCAACACAGAGACAAUGCAGAGAAGAAAUAUUGAAGGGUUUCACAGACCAGCUGCGCAAGAUCUCCAAGGACGCCGGGAUGCCCAUCCAGGGCCAGCCCUGCUUCUGCAAGUAUGCCCAGGGUGCAGACAGUGUGGAGCCCAUGUUCCGACACCUCAAGAACACCUAUUCGGGCCUGCAGCUCAUCAUUGUCAUCCUGCCAGGGAAGACACCUGUGUAUGCGGAGGUGAAGCGCGUGGGAGAUACGUUGUUGGGAAUGGCCACACAGUGUGUUCAGGUCAAGAACGUCAUCAAAACAUCUCCACAGACCCUCUCAAAUCUGUGCCUGAAGAUCAAUGUUAAACUAGGAGGAAUCAACAACAUCCUUGUACCUCAUCAACGACCUUCUGUGUUCCAGCAGCCAGUGAUCUUUUUGGGAGCUGAUGUCACUCACCCUCCAGCUGGAGAUGGAAAGAAGCCCUCCAUCGCUGCUGUUGUAGGCAGCAUGGAUGCCCACCCCAGCCGGUACUGUGCCACGGUGAGGGUCCAGCGGCCCCGGCAGGAGAUCAUCCAGGACCUGGCCUCCAUGGUCAGGGAGCUGCUCAUCCAGUUCUACAAGUCAACACGGUUCAAGCCCACCCGCAUCAUCUUCUACAGGGACGGGGUCUCUGAGGGACAGUUCCGACAGGUUUUGUAUUAUGAGCUGCUGGCCAUUAGAGAAGCCUGCAUCAGUCUGGAGAAGGAUUACCAGCCUGGGAUCACCUACAUCGUGGUGCAGAAGCGACACCACACGCGGUUGUUCUGUGCUGACAGAACAGAAAGGGUCGGACGGAGUGGCAAUAUUCCAGCGGGGACAACUGUAGACACAGACAUUACACACCCCUACGAGUUCGAUUUUUACCUCUGUAGCCAUGCUGGAAUACAGGGAACCAGCCGGCCCUCCCACUACCAUGUGCUGUGGGAUGACAACUGUUUCACAGCAGAUGAGCUGCAGCUCCUCACGUACCAGCUGUGCCACACCUACGUGCGCUGCACCCGCUCCGUGUCCAUCCCAGCCCCAGCCUACUACGCUCACCUGGUGGCAUUCCGGGCCAGGUACCACCUCGUGGACAAGGAACACGACAGUGCUGAAGGGAGCCACGUGUCAGGACAGAGCAACGGGCGAGACCCCCAGGCCCUGGCGAAGGCUGUACAGAUUCACCAAGACACCUUACGCACGAUGUACUUCGCUUAAGUCAAUGACCCGGGAGACACUCACCGAGAGGAGAACUUGAGAACUUAAGCCACAUACAAUGAGUUCUUGUGGAGUUCUGGCAUUUAGGUGAAAACUCCUUUUUACAAAGCCUUUUGACUCUCCUUUCAAAGCUGCUGGAUGCUUCUCAUCCCACCCACGCUCGGCAACUCGGAUUCGAGAAGCUUUUUUGCUCGCUGCUUUCACCAAAAACUAAAGAACCUUCAUUGGCAAAGUGACUUCAGUUGUCAAGGUAACGUUGUACCUGGUUUUCAUGUGAAGAGUAUUUGGAAGUUUUAAUCUCUCUUCUUGGUUUUGCAAAUAUCUACGUCAAGUGCCGAUACUUCUUUGUAUUACGAUAUCAAGUUACUGACGUUGUGAGGGCCACACAUUAAUGAUGCUGUAGCUGCUAUAUUUAUUUAAAUGGAGAUGGACAAUUACUGCACUAAGGAAUGAGGAGAAAAGCAAGGAAUCAAGGUUAGUUAGAUAUCUUGGGUUUUUUUUCAAAAGAGAAAUAAUGGUGUGAAAUAUCAAGUGUAACAAAGGGUGCUGUCAUUUUAACUGAGAUUAAAUAGCCAGAUAUUCUUCUUUUGUUUAAAAACAUAUAUAUUUUGAUGUUUGCAGUUUGGGGGUGGGGGGUCGGGAUAAAUGGUACCUCAUCUGUGGUGGCAGUUUCCAGUAUAUUUUCAGAGUAUAUGGAUUUCUUUUAUUUUUGUACCUGCUCUCCUUUAAAAAGAAAAAAAAAAUUCUCAGAUUUUAUGUGCCGUUUGAGGAAAUCUUGAGUGGCACAGCAGAUCCCCCCUCUCCUGGUGGGAGCUGGCUGUGGAUAGUCCAGAGAGGGACGUGGGCACAGGCUGAUGAUUCUUCUUGCUUUGCAGACACCGGGUUUAUGCCUGUCGGGAAAAGCAGUUCCCGUCUCCUCAGACACUGAGACCUCACUUGUACUUAACAAGUGCCACUAAGUGCUCCCGUGGGGGGAGCAGCCCCAGGGCUGGGCCAGGAGUGGCUGUAGGGUAUUGCUGGAAUGGUGCUGGCCAUGGGGAUGGACCCUGGGGUGCCAUCAGUGCCCCUCCUCACCUGGGGAUGGACCCUGGGGUGCCAUCAGUGCCCCUCCUCACCUGGAGCCAGCUGUGCCCAAUCCUGCCAUCUGACCACUGGUAGAUCCACAGUUGGAGGGAACCCUGGAAUGUUUUGUGGUCAAGGCAUUAAACUUGUGGCAUCUGCAGACAGACCGAGUGACUCCCUAAGUCGCCUUUUGUCCUUGGUAGGGAUUUCAGCCGUGGUCAUUGGACUCAGGAUCGCUGUGUCACUGUUCAGUGUGUCAUCUGGUUACACGUGUCCAAAAGUUAUUUUUAUAGGGUUCAUUCCGGCAUCCUUCUGGAAGUUUGUUUGGCCACAGAAAUGGGUUUUCAGGAGUUAAAUGGGUUUCUGGAAGCUGUCAGUCAAAUUAUUUCAAGAUGCUCUUGGUCCUCAAUGAUUUUCACUUAUUCAUGUAUGAAUUCUUGUCCUAAAAAAUGCUCAACAUGAAAUACCAGACAGUCAUCUGCUGUACAAAUUCCAGCUACAAAUACUGGUGUUCUACUAGUCUUAAAGUUCACUCUGGUGAAAUUCCAAGCUCAAGCUUGAGGCCUUUUGUUUUUCUACACUUUCUUCAUAUCUUGUCCUGUUCUGAUAUUUUCCCUGUUUUUUGAACUGAGGGUUUAGAACCUUUCUCGAAGCACUUUUAUAACCAAGAAAUCACAAGCUCAGAUUAUGUAUGUCAGACCUGUAAAUUCAGUUUUCAGAGGAGGUUGUUUCUAAAUGGCCAUCGUGGUCUCUGGUCAGGCCAGGCUGAUGCCCUGUCCCUUUCAGUGCCGUGGGGUUUUGUGGCUGCUACUGGCAGGUUGGUUGGAUCUAUUGAAAAAAUCAAAGGGAAAGAUUCCUGUCUUUUUCUACCCAAAGAUGGUACUUGAGGUUGAUGCUGGGUGUCAGAAUAUCAUUUUUAUUUUGGCACAUGUUGAAAUCCAACUUCACUUAGCCAAUUCACUCCUGGUUUUUAUACAAUAUCAUGGUUAGAGCUUGAGCUCGUUGAUGCUUUCUGCUGGUAGAAGAUUUUGUACUUUCUGUAGUUGAGGUAUGAGCGAGAUGGAUACAGGAUCCUACAUUUUACCUCCCAAGCAGAGUCUUAAGAAUCCUGAUCUGUGUGACACUAAAACCCAAACUGUUGUCCCUGACUAGGCAAAGGUGCAUGUGGAGGGGAAGGAAUUGUAAGCGAGAGGUUUGUGAGGGGAAAAUAUCAAAGCAUCGGUUUGGCAGAAAGGAGGGUGCUGGGGAGACUCCAUCCAUCUCUGCACCCCACGUGCCCUGGCCUUUCAGAUCCUGUCUGAGGUACCCCCUCACCUGCCACGGGUCGUUACUGUAGGGUUCUUUUCAAACAAAGCAGUUCCACUGUUUAAAACUUGGAAUGACUUUUAUUUUUUUUUUAAGCAAGACAGUCCUCAGAAAGUGCCUUUUUAGAAGAUGGUGCUGUAGAUUUUUAUUUUCCAGUUGUACGUGGCUGCAAAUUUAAGAUAAAUUAUUGAAAAAUGCCAAGUGUUUGAUAGUAUCUUUUAGGUACUUUCAAGCAUCAGCUUCUCUGAGUCAGGACCAAGAAUAACCGGGAAGGUGUUUUCCUUUGGAGGGAGAGGCAUUGAGGAGCGAUCACCAAAUUCAGCUGGUAGGCUGGGCUUGGGCUGGGUUUGGUCAAUGUGAUUUGCCUCUUCAUAUUGAGGGGGUGUGGGGUUUAGGGUGUGGGAGAAGCUCUAGGGAUGUGGUUAGUGUCCAAAGGAAUCCAUAGCUACUGGAGGAUGUCAUCUCUUAGGGGUAGAGACAUCCCAAAGAUCAAGACAAACUGAAAGGUGUCUUAGGAGGAUGUCUUAAGGAUGGCUUAGGAGAUGGUGGGUCCUCACAUGGCUUGUGUGUGUCCAGGAGGAAUGUCAUGGAUCACUGGGUCCUUCUGAUUCCCAGCUGGGAGUUGGGUGCUCUGGAUGG